CUUAGAAACCACUAAGAGUAACGCCUGCCCAGUGACUAAUAGAUUCAACGGCCGCGUAUUAGUGCUAAGGUAGCAUAAUAAUUUGCCUUUUCAUUGAAGGCUAGUAUGAAUGGCACAACGAAGCUUAACUGUCUCUAAUUAUAACAAAAAAAUUAGUCAAAAAGUGAAAAAACUUUUUUACUAUUGAAGGACGAAAAGACCCUAUAGAGCUUUAAUAUAGUCAAUAAACAAAGUUUAAUAAUCAAAACUCUUAAUUCACAUAUUUUUAUUGGGGCAAUAGAAAAAAAAUUUAACACACAACUUUGUGAUAACAAACAAAAAAAACCUCAAAGAGAACAAAUACAAGCUACCUUAGGGAUAACAGCGUAAUCUUACCAGAGAGACCUAAUCAAAGGAAAGGUUUACGACCUCGAUGUUGGACUAAGAAAACCUAAAGGUGUAGAAGCCUUUAAAAGCUGGCCUGUUCGGCCAUUAA
rnacentral:rRNA from 1 species